AGGCCUAAGAUGCCCAGGCGCUUCCGCGGCCACCCGGAGAGAUUGGCCGGCAGAGCGCGUUAUCAAAUUGAGAAUCUGAUGGCAUGGCAUUAAUCACCUUGAGGAAGAACCUUUAUCGUUUAUCUGAUUUUCGGAUGCAUAGAGCUCUGGCUGCUUUAAAAAAUCAACCUCUAAAUCAUGUUCACAAGGUAGUCAAGGAGCGUCUGUGCCCUUGGUUCUGUUCACGACAACCUGAGCCUUUCAGAGUCAGAUUCCAUCACGCCCAUUGUAAAAAGUUUCAUUCGAAAAAUGGAAAUGACCUUCAUCCACUUAGUGGGCCAGUGUUCUCUCAAGUAUCUGACUGGGACAGGCUUGAACAAAAUGUUAAAAAUGAAGAGAGUCAGACGUUUUACAAGAGACUGAGCAACUUGACUUCAUCAGAAGAAGUGCUAAGUUUUAUAAGCACGAUGGAAACCCUGCCUGACACUAUGGCAGCAGGAGCUUUACAACGGAUUUGUGAAGUGGAAAAAAAGGAUGGUGAUCAAGGGCUGCCAAAAGAACUACUGGAGAAUAGCAUCUUUCAAGCUUUAUGCUUUCAGUUUGAAAAGGAGCCCUCACAGCUGUCAAACAGUAGUUUGGUGACUGCUUUGCAAGCUCUCAUUCUGUUGCAUGUGGAUCCUCAAAGUAGCCUGUUACUGAACCUGGUGGCAGAAUGCCAAAAUCGUCUCAAAAAAGGUGGCAUGGAAGUUCGCAAUCUUUGUAUUCUUGGGGAAAGUCUGAUUAGACUGCACAGUUCAGGUUGUGUGACACUAGAACUCAUUAUAAAUCAACUGCAAGGUGAAAAAUUGGAAACAUUUACCCCAGAGGAUAUUGUGGCCCUUUAUAGAAUCUUGCAGGCAUGUACUGAAAAAGUGGAUGAACACCAAACAUUUUUAAAUAAGAUAAAUAACUUUUCCCUUUCAAUAGUUUCCAACCUGAAUCCUAAAUUGAUUAGCCAAAUGUUAACGGCCCUGGUGGUUCUUGAUCAAAGUCAAGCAUUUCCUCUGAUUAUAAAAUUGGGCAAAUAUGUAGUGAGGCAUGUCCCGCAUUUCACUAACGAGGAGCUUAGGAGAGUCUUGGAGGCGUUCAUAUAUUUUGGGCACCAUGACACAUUUUUCACAAAAGCCCUAGAGCAUCAUGUAGCUGCGGUGUGCCUCACGUUGGAUCCUGAAGUUGUCUGCAGAGUCAUGGAGUACUGCAGUAGAAAACUGAUUCUUUCAAAACCCAUCCUCAAUGCAGUGGCAGAAACUUUUGUUUGCCAAACAGAAAAAUUUUCACCUAGUCAGAUUUCUGCAUUAAUGGAACCAUUUGGGAAACUCAAUUAUUUGCCACCAAAUUCCUCUGCUUUAUUUAGAAAGCUGGAAAACGUGCUAUUCACUCAUUUCAAUUAUUUUCCACCCGAAACAUUAUUGAAACUUCUUCAUUCAUGUUCACUUAAUGAAUGCCAUCCAGUCAACUUUAUGGCAAAAAUAUUCAAGCCUUCUUUCCUUCAACGGCUGCAAGGUAAAGAAUCUCAUUUGGACAAAUUGAGUCGGGCACAACUGACCCAACUUUUCUUAGCCUCAGUCCUGGAAUGCCCUUUCUAUAAGGGUCCAAAACUCCAUCCUAAAUAUCAAGUAAAGUCAUUUCUUACCCCAUGCUGUUCCCUGGAGACCCCUGUGGAUUCUCAGCUUUAUAGAUAUGUGAAGAUUGGGCUGAUUGACCUUUUAGGAGAAAGAUUAUAUUUUGCUCCAAAAGUGUUGACACCCUAUUGUUAUACAAUAGCCUUCACUCCAAUUGAUCAAUGCAAUGUGGAAGGAAUCAAAGCAAAGCAAAGGAAUGAAUACAGGAAGAUAGUGUUUGUGAGGGUAUCACACGACGAAUUUUUCCUUUCUUCUCUCACCAGAUGUUGAAAUUAAAUUAGAUGAAGAAGGAUUUGUAUUGCCAUCCACAGUUGAUGAAGAUAUCCAUAAAAGGAUAGCGCUGUGUAUUGAUGGUCCAGAAAGGUUUUGCUCCAAUAGCAAACACUUACUGGGAAAAGAAGCUAUUAAACAAAGACACCUACAGUUACUUGGUUAUCAAGUUGUUCAGAUCCCCUAUCAUGAGAUUGGGAUGCUAAAAUCAAGAUGUGAAUUGGUGGAAUAUUUACAAAGAAAACUGUUUUCUCAAAACACUGUUCAUUGGUGACAAGAAUGAAUACUGGCUUCAGAACUCAAAACAAUGAAAAAACUUGCAUUUUUAUGGAAUUCAGUAUUAAAAGAAAAAUAUGUGAAUUAGCCACUUUGCAGAAUAUGUUCUAGACUGGUGAUCUGAAAUCAUCUAUAGUUUUCUUUAUACUAUGUAUACAUUUAUUGUGGUAAAAUUUAAAAUUAAUUUUAAUACUAGUGUCAUAGAUACUUUUUAUACAUCAAACAACUGAUCAUGUGCAGUAAAGGAAUUCAAUGAAUAAAUGUGAUUUUAAAGUA